AUGAAGGUCUUCGGAUCGUAAAGUGCUUUUCUGAGAGAUGAGAAAGGACAGUAUCUCAGGAAUAAGUCUCGGCUAACUACGUGC
rnacentral:rRNA from 1 species